GGGAAGUCAGCCUGCCAUAACAGGCAUUGGACGAUGUGGUGAUCUCCGGUGAGCUUUACUACCGAAGCAAGCUAUCCUGGACCAAGAAACUAGCAGCCUUGACCAGGCAGGCUAGUCUGCUAUAAGGUUGACAAGCUGGACACUCGGCCCUCGCUUGUAAUCAUAUUGAUGGGAUAUCUAGCCACAGCCCACAAGCGUGACGGUAGGCAGAGCUACGAGAUUCACCUGGACCAUGACAGCUUUGAGUCUCAUCAGUCCCUGGAGUGGGCCGAUAUCUGCACCUUAAUGCCACAACUGAAGGUCAGAGAGCCCCAGUACCUGUUGCCCAUCUAACAAGAGAAGCCCUGUCGGACAAAACUGACCCACUCCCUUACAGACUAACCACGG